UACAGAGGUCUCAAGCGUUGUUCGGAUUCAUUGGGCGUAAAGGGUGCGUAGGUGGCGUGGUAAGUCGGGUGUGAAAUUUCGGAGCUUAACUCCGAAACUGCAUUCGAUACUGCUGUGCUUGAGGACUGGAGAGGAGACUGGAAUUUACGGUGUAGCAGUGAAAUGCGUAGAUAUCGAGAGGAACACCAGUGGCGAAGGCGAGUCCCUGGACAACUCCUGACACUGAGGCACGAAAGCUAGGGGAGCAAACAGG
rnacentral:rRNA from 1 species